rnacentral:rRNA from 1 species
UGGGGAAUAUUGCGCAAUGGGCGAAAGCCUGACGCAGCGACGCCGCGUGGGUGAUGAAGGCCUUCGGGUCGUAAAGCCCUGUCGGGAGGGACGAAACCUCGGUGACCUAAUACGUCACCGACCUGACGGUACCUCUUAAGGAAGCACCGGCUAACUCCGUGCCAGCAGCCGCGGUAAUACGGAGGGUGCGAGCGUUAUCCGGAUUUACUGGGUUUAAAGGGUGCGUAGGUGGGCUUAUAAGUCAGUGGUGAAAUCUCCGAGCUUAACUUGGAAACUGCCGUUGAUACUAUAGGGGUUGAAUUAUCUGGGGGUAAGCGGAAUAUGUCAUGUAGCGGUGAAAAGCUUAGAUAUGACAUAGAACACCAAUUGCGAAGGCAGCUUACUGCAUAUAAAUUGACGCUGAGGCACGAAAGCGUGGGGAUCAAACA